GAGACAAGUGGGAUAAAUUUAAGUACACAAUCACACUAACAUAGUAUUCUAUUUAGCCUACAAAAUAAUUUAAAAAAUGUUACGAAUCUAUACGAAACGAUAAUGUAACAAAAAUCGAGGCUGUACCUUUAAGUUGUUUACCUAUUUUUACUCGCGUAUUAAUUUACAAAGGGUUACCGAUUUACAAACAGCUCGAUCUUCUUGCGCAGGAACGCGAAAUAGUUUGAAAGUUAAACAUACGAUCGCUGAAAAAUAAAGGGAUUAAACAUCAUAUACCUCCGUUCAAAUUUAUUCAAUUUAUUGCAAUACACAUUUUUAUUAUUAAAUAUUAAGUAUUAAAUGAGAAUUAACAAAUAAUUUUCCGUCAUAAAGGGUGAAGGUCGCCAUUUGCAAUCAUAAAUGAAUCAUGUACAGCACAUGUUGCAGUGUUACUACACAACAGAUGGAACUGGAACAAAAAAAUAAACAAAUAUCACGCGAAUAACCAAGAGCGUUGGAUUUACUUGCUGUAGAAGUUGAAAUUGUUGCCCCAUAAAACUGAGAGUGUGUCUGAAGGAGAUUCAUCGAAGAUGAGAUGGACACGUGAUUCUGUUCCGAGUGGGUGGCGAAAGAAUGAACAUCAAUGUUUGGAAUAUUGACGGGCCUGUGUUUGGGUGUUGGUUUGAAAGCGCUAGACGAGAGAGAUGGUGCUGCAUCGCAAUCAUCGUGAUUUUCAAGCAUUGAUGGUGAUGGUGGGGACGUUACAGUUGCAGUGACUGGAUACCGUCGUUUCCCAGACAGGAUGUGUGAUCCGGCCUUCUGUGUGGAUUCAGAAAUCGCACUGUAAUUCAAUACCGAUUGGAUGUUUUGUGGCCAGUGAAAUGCAUAAUGUCAGUUGGUGGGACGUUUUCGUCGCUGAGCAUUUGGACCAUUCGCUUGCGAACAGAGUGGUUAGUCAGGCGCUGACGGUCCAGCCCGCACUGCUCAGCAAUCCUUUGAACCAUGUGUCCAAGUUUAUUGAGGCCGACCUUCUGCAUAAUAACCACUUGUCAUCUGGUCCUGUCAAAGCCCAGGUCCUAGGUUUAAUGUAGAAUGGACUUCCUGGUUGACAAUAUCCACUGGGUCGCUUGGAGGCAAACAGCUUGUAGGCUGCGAUGGGGCAUCUGUCGUCUUGUGUCGCAUACAUCCUAGGUGGCACUUUCCUGAUGUUUGAAAUGUUACCCCCUGUCCUUGUUUUGGUCUGGCGCUCAUUAAGUUCAAGGAACUCCGUUCCAUGUGCUUCGGUUCUGAGGGUUACGUCUUCCCAGCUAAAAAUAAUGAACAUUGGAAACCUUGAAAAGACAUAUAGAAAACUCAAAGGAAAUGGCUUAACGAUUAUAAAUCACUCAAACCAUAGAUUAUACUGCUCCGUGGUUCCCCGAAGGCCUAAGUGGACACAGUUGUUAUACCACAUGGUAUUCAGCAAGUAUUUUAUGAAUACUUUUGCAAUAUUGAAUAUAGCAACUUGAUAUUUGGCAUGCAUGUGUAUCUCAUGGAGCUGCACAUUUUGAUUGGUGAAAGGUCAAGGUCAUCCUUCAAGGUCAGAGGUCAAAUAUAUGUGGCCCAAAUCGCUUAUUUUAUGAAUACUUUUGCAAUAUUGAAGAUAGCAACUUGAUAUUUGGCAGCAUGUGUAUCUCAUGUAGCUGCACAUUUUGAGUGGUGAAAGGUCAAGGUCGAGGUCAUCCUUCAAGGUCAAAUAUAUGGGUCAAAUUUGCUCAUGUAAUGUCACUUCUACAAUAUUGAAGCUAGCAAUUUUAUAUUUGAAAUGCAUGUGUAUCUCAUGGAGCUGCACAUUUUGAGUGGUGAUGGGUCAAGGUCAUCCUUCAAGGUCAAACGUCAUAUAGGGGGACAUUGUGUUUCACAAACGCAUCUUGUUUGAUUUUUGCAAUGUUGCUUUGUUUUCUUGUUCUCAAAUACGUUUUUUAACCAUGCAAAUGUCAAUGUCCUCAAAUUCUUUAUUUAGUUCAGGAAUCAGAAUGCUGGCUACUUCAUUAGAAGUUACAUUUUCAAAUGUAUCGUCCAGAACCCUUGCAUCAAAUCCAUACAAUUCAAUGUAAACUUCAAAUGAUACCUCUUGAACAAUUUGAUAUGCACUUUGUGAUUUUAUAGUUCCGUUUUCUUCAAUUUUCAUGUCCGCUGUUUUGUUUGCAGUUUUAAGUGAGGCAUCUUCCAUGUCAUUUUCUAUAAUAUCAUCCCAUAAAAUGUUAAAUGUUAUAUUAUCAAUAUUAUCUGACAUUUUUAUGUCCCCCACUAUAGUAGUGGGGGACAUAUUGUUUUUGCCCUGUCUGUUGGUUGGUUGGUCUGUUGGUUGGUUGGUCUGUUGGUUGGUUUGCGCCAACUUUAACAUUUUGCAAUAACUUUUGCUAUAUUGAAGAUAGCAACUUCAUAUUUGGCAUGCAUGUGUAUCGCAUGAAGCUGCACAAUUUGAGUGGUGAAAGGUCAAGGUCAUCCUUCAAGGUCAGAGGUCAAAUAUGUGUGGCCAAAAUCGCUAAUUUUAUGAAUACUUUUGCAAUAUUGAAGAUAGCAACUUCAUAUUUGGCAUGCAUGUGUAUCUCAUGGAGCUGCACAUUAUGAGUGGUGAAAGGUCAAGGUCAUCCUUACAGGUCAGAGGUCAAAUAUAUGUGGCCCAAAUCGCUUAUUUUAUGAAUACUUUUGCAAUAUUGAAUAUAGCAACUUGAUAUUUGGCAUGCAUGUGUAUCUCAUGGAGCUGCACAUUUUGAGUGGUGAAAGGUCAAGGUCAUCCUUCAAGGUCAGAGGUCAAAUAUAUGUGGCCCUAAUCGCUUAUUUUUUGAAUACUUUUGCAAUAUUGAAGAUAGCAACUUGAUAUUUGGCAUGCAUGUGUAUCUCAUGGAGCUGCACAUUUUGAGUGGUGAAAGGUCAAUGUCAUCCUUCAAGGUCAAAUAUAUGGGUCAAAAUUGCUCAUGUAAUGUCACUUCUGCAAUAUUGAAGCUAGCAAUUUUAUAUUUGAAAUGCGUGUGUAUCUCAAUGAGCUGCACAUUUUGGGUGGUGAAGGGUCAAGGUCAUCCUUCAAGGUCAAAUGUCAUAUAGGCGGACAUUGUGUUUCACAAACACAUCUUGUUAUUCUUCUGUUUAGAAUUUUCACUUGCUCAAUAUUUAUUUGAACAGACAACAGUACUUCUGUGUGAAAUAGUGAUUUAUUUAUUUAUUUUAUUCUUAUGAUUAUUGUCAUUGAUAACAAUUUAAUAAAAUAAAAACAAAUUCUA